rnacentral:lncRNA from 1 species
CCACGGUAGUCCAUCUAGGAGUCAUCACCAACAAGAAAUGUCAAGACAAUACGACUUGUAAGUAAAGUGAUAUAGCUAUAUCUAAAGUAUUUUUCCGGAGUAUUAGGUAACUUAUCUUUUUCUUUUUCUUUUUGUGCAGUGAAAACCAGUUUCUUGAAGCUUCUGACCUCACACAGCUUCCCAUAGACGGCGUAUUUACUCGUGAUUUGGCAUAUGCAUAGAGUCAGGACGAUGAUAGUGACUACGACAAUAAUGCGGAUGAGUCUGGGGGUGACACACCCUCCCAUUUUGAGGUUGGUGAUGAGG